rnacentral:lncRNA from 1 species
ACCAACAGCAUCGUCAGCAUAUCGACAUCAACACGAGCGGAGAAACUGUAAACGUGCACAUUCGGGGCAAAGACGUGACAGCCAACAAGGAGUGAAUAUUCAUACCGGCGCAGCAGCUCAUAUGAAAGUCGCACCUCGCUAAGUUACUCACGCUCCCCUAAUCGAAGUGUUUCGAGCUGAUAGACAUGCUCAGCCACCACUAGGAACGAUAGUGAGAGGAAAAGAGCCGAGAGUCAAAACCACCACGACAAGGUUAAGGUAACCGAUACUGCGAGAACAUCAGAAGGGCCCUUAUAAAUCCAGCUUUGAAGCAAGUAGCGGUCAACGUAGCAGAAAAAUCCGAAAUCAACGAGUAUCUUUACGGCCAGAAUUUCUCGGAGAAACUUAAAAUUGCCAAGGAAGUGGAGAAAGUCGGAAGUGGCCUUUCGAAACAAGAUCGGUUUGCGAGAAAACCUGAUUUUUUUGGCUCAAGAAGCUCCUAUAGAAACCAGACAAAUUCGAGAGGCGAUUUAAACUACAGAGGCCCCCUCCAUCGACGAAACACGACGUACACACGCCCAGCGAGGGGGCAGAAAUGACAAUCCAGCAGUCGAGGGCAGAACAGGAACUUCAGGUGGAAGUAGAUGCACCUCAAAUCGCAUCAAUUGUCUCAGAAACUUAUCCUGGUUGCCGCGAAAUUAUCCUGCAAUCAUACACGCGAAAAGAGAUCUAGAGCAGAAA